ACGUGAUCUGAGUUCAGACCGGAGCAAUCCAGGUCGGUUUCUAUCUAUAACAGAGCUCUUUCUAGUACGAAAGGACCGAAAAAGCAUGGCCUAUGCCCACAGUAAGCCAUCAUUAUUAAUCUAUGAUUACCACUUAAUUAAUUACUAACCUACAACUGCCCUCAAAAUAAGAGG
rnacentral:rRNA from 1 species